rnacentral:ncRNA from 1 species
UUGAUAGAGGCGCGGUGUUCAUCAGUACCGUCCGGCAACGUCAGGCAGCCGCCGGACAGGAAAGGGACCACCGCCGAAGAGUCGAACGGGUGCCUGCCCGGACGGUUCUGGGCUGUAUGAGAACAUCAUGCAGACUGUCACAAGUCUUUGUGGAGCGCUAUCGA